rnacentral:rRNA from 1 species
ACUCCUACGGGAGGCAGCAGUGGGGAAUCUUCCGCAAUGGACGAAAGUCUGACGGAGCAACGCCGCGUGUAUGAUGAAGGUCUUCGGAUUGUAAAGUACUGUCUUUGGGGAAGAAUGACUGAUUUGAGAAUAUUGAGUCAGUAUGACGGUACCCAAGGAGGAAGCCCCGGCUAACUACGUGCCAGCAGCCGCGGUAAUACGUAGGGGGCAAGCGUUGUCCGGAAUUAUUGGGCGUAAAGGGCGCGUAGGCGGAUAGUUAAGUCCGGUGUGAAAGAUCAGGGCUCAACCCUGAGAGUGCAUCGGAAACUGGUUAUCUUGAGGACAGGAGAGGAAAGUGGAAUUCCACGUGUAGCGGUGAAAUGCGUAGAUAUGUGGAGGAACMCCAGUGGCGAAGGCGACUUUCUGGACUGUAACUGACGCUGAGGCGCGAAAGCGUGGGGAGCAAACAGGAUUAGAUACCCUGGUAGUCCACGCUGUAAACGAUGAGUGCUAGGUGUAGAGGGUAUCGACCCCUUCUGUGCCGCAGUUAACACAAUAAGCACUCCGCCUGGGGAGUACGGCCGCAAGGUUGAAACUCAAAUGAAUUGACGG